GAUGAAGAACGUAGCGAAAUGCGAUACGUAAUGUGAAUUGCAGAAUUCAGUGAAUCAUCGAGUCUUUGAACGCACAUUGCGCCCCCUGGUAUUCCGGGGGGCAGGCCUGUCCGAGCGUCAUUGCUGCCCUCAAGCACGGCUUGUGUGUUGGGCCUCCGUCCUCCUCCCGGGGGACGGGCCCGAAAGGCAGCGGCGGCACCGCGUCCGGUCCUCGAGCGUAUGGGGCUUCGUCACCCGCUCUUGUAGGCCCGGCCGGCGCUUGCCGACACAUCAAUCUUUUUUCCAGGUUGACCUCGGAUCAGGUAGGGAUACCCGCUGAACUUAAGCAUAUCAAUAAGCGGAGGA
rnacentral:misc_RNA from 1 species